UAUAACUAUUGUCUAAACACUC
rnacentral:siRNA from 1 species